UACGUAGGUGGCAAGCGUUAUCCGGAAUCAUUGGGCGCAAAGAGCGCGCAGGUGGUUAAUUAAGUCUGAUGUGAAAGCCCACGGCUUAACCGUGGAGGGUCAUUGGAAACUGGUUGACUUGAGUGCAGAAGAGGGAAGUGGAAUUCCAUGUGUAGCGGUGAAAUGCGUAGAGAUAUGGAGGAACACCAGUGGCGAAGGCGGCUUCCUGGUCUGCAACUGACACUGAGGCGCGAAAGCGUGGGGAGCAAACAGG
rnacentral:rRNA from 1 species